AUUCGGCUGCAAUAGAGAAGCAGGUAAGAAUAAAAGCGCUACAAUGCAGCGGGGAGAGGCAGCAAUGCAGCCAGUGGUGCAUGCAUUCCCUUUAAUGCAGCCAGUGGUGCAUGCAUUCCCUUUAAUGCAGCAAGGGCAGCAUGCACAGCGCAAGCAGGCGGUUCCCCACACUUUA